AGAGUUUGAUCCUGGCUCAGAGCGAACGCUGGCGGCAGGCUUAACGCAUGCAAGUCGAGCGGGCGUAGCAAUACGUCAGCGGCAGACGGGUGAGUAACGCGUGGGAACGUACCUUUUGGUUCGGAACAACACAGGGAAACUUGUGCUAAUACCGGAUAAGCCCUUACGGGGAAAGAUUUAUCGCCGAAAGAUCGGCCCGCGUCUGAUUAGCUAGUUGGUGAGGUAACGGCUCACCAAGGCGACGAUCAGUAGCUGGUCUGAGAGGAUGAUCAGCCACAUUGGGACUGAGACACGGCCCAAACUCCUACGGGAGGCAGCAGUGGGGAAUAUUGGACAAUGGGCGCAAGCCUGAUCCAGCCAUGCCGCGUGAGUGAUGAAGGCCCUAGGGUUGUAAAGCUCUUUUGUGCGGGAAGA
rnacentral:rRNA from 1 species